rnacentral:ncRNA from 14 species
CCACGUUCUCAGGGCGGGGUGAGAUUCCCCACCGGCGGUAAUGACACAGCCAAAAAGCUGAAAGCGUAGCGAGCGCAGGUCAGGCAAGGCGUGAUUCGACGAGAAGGCGAGCUUUACGGCAGUAAACAAGACUGCGGUAAAUGAGCAUUUCGAGGAGGAUUACAACGCAGCAUGGCCUGCGCGCAGUAGCUUUCAAUUGGCGUCUAGCCCGCGAGCGCUUGUCUUCGACAAGGUCAGCAGACCCGGUGUGAUUCCGGGGCCGACGGUAUAGUCCGGAUGAGAGAGAGCGGGA